rnacentral:tRNA from 1 species
GCCGGAGUAGCUCAGCGGUAGAGCAAGGCUUUCGUAAAGCCGAGGUCGUGGGUUCAAAUCCCACCUCCGGCU